UUAAUAACAUCUGCAAUAUGCUCAGUAAAAAUCCAGCUCUCCUCUUGCCACUUGUUUCACAGCAUUUCUACUCUACAUUUCAGGUAUUCUACCCAUCUCCAUGAGCUCAGUGCAGCCAGCUCGACCCAUAAAAGAUUUAACAGGUAUAGCAUGCAGAGGUGUAGGCGGUCAUUCAAAAUAUCAAGAGUUGCUGGUGCUCACUGAGUGACGUAGAAGAUCUUUGGCAGCCUGCGUUUAUCUCUGACCUGGUCAAUGGCAGACGGAGGAUUUGUGUCAUUCUAAGAGUGAGACCACGAUCGUGUCCUCCUGCAUGGAUGAAAAGUGAAGAAAGCUUCACUAAUCCAGCAUAGCAUGAAUUUCAUGUUCCUGCUGUUCACCUGCCUUUCUGCCUCACCAAGUAUGCAUUUUUUUUAAGGUUGAUGUGCGUCAUUAGACCUGUGUGAAGCUAAUCUCCCUGCAGCAACAUCUUCCCCUCUAUCAGGGGGAGUCACCAGGUUCCUAUGACUAAGUCACAUGCUUCUGCAUCUCUGUGAAUGAAAGACACAGAAGGACAUGAAACAUUUAUAGGUGAAAGACAAAUAUUUUGAUAAAUGAUAAUUUA